UUCACCUAUAACCAUGUUAUAUAUAUAUUAAGCUCAUACCUAGUUCGAAUAAACCACACACACAACAUUUAUUUACCUUACAAUUUUCCUAUAAUGUCAAACCAAAACCAAAAUGUGCAUGGUCUUUAAUCCAAUCCAAAAUCGAGUAGAGCAAGCUAAUUAAGCCAUAUUCGCAUGGCUUUAAUACAAAUAUACUCUCAAAAGAAACAAUUUCAAACUAGUCUAUACAUGCCAUAGUUUCAAGAAAAUUUCAGCUUAAAAUACCGUAAUUAUCCAAUAGUGUGAUAAACUUUACUGACGAUCCCGAACUCGUAACCACCUCAAAAUCUAUAAGACAAAAUAAAUAGACACAAACGCAUACAGUAAGCAUUUUAAAGCUUAGUAAGUCAAUAGCAUAGAUAAAAUUUAACAAAUAAAAUAAAAGAACAAUUAAAUUAUUUAUAAGGAUAUUAUACAUCUCUUGGUUACACUUUCAAUUCCAUAUACCUUUCUAUUAAUCUAAACAUACCUUAAUUCAUCCAUAUAUAAAUAUAUAUAUAUAUAAGCCUUCGUUAUGGUAGCUUAGUUAUCAACUAAGCCAAUUUAUAUCUCUAAAUAAAAUUGGUAACUUAUAAUAUUACAAACACUUAUGAUAUUUCAUUCCGAAUAGACAACUUACCUUUUUUCCAUUCAUUCAUUUAAUUAAUACAUACCUGCAGAUAUAAUUCAUUCACAUGUCCGACUACAUUUAAAAUUACAUUAACAAGAACUUUCUGAACACACGUUUUAAAUAAAUUCACCGGCACAUAGCCUGCUAGGCUUAAAGCCUGAUUCCGUACACUGGCAUGAAGCCUGCUAGAUGUAUAGUCUAAAUAUUUCACCGGCAUUAAGCCUGCUAGACGUAUAGUCUGAAUAUUUCACCGGCAUUAAGCCUGCUAGAUGUAUAGUCUGAAUAUUUCACCGGCAUUAAGCCUGCUAGGCACAAGCCUGAGAAUCUCAAAUACAAAGACGCUCUUUCGUAUAGUUAUUUAUAAUUACAUAAGUCUUACUCAGUAACUGUAUAUCCGUAACAUUGAAUUAUAUUCGAUUAUUCACAAUAAACUUACAUUCGGACCACAUAGGUAUAACUAAAAAAAAAACAUUACAUUCAGCACAAAUGUUUUUAUAAUCUAUGUUCGAACCCUCUUAUACCUAUAAAAUUCAUACAUUAAUUUUCGAGCUCAAGAACAUGAAUAUACGUAUAUAACUAUGUUCUAACAAUACGCACAAAAAUAUAUGUAAUUCAUAGUAUUUAAAUUUUAUUACAAGAACUUAUAAUAUACUUUAGAACCAUAUCUUUAACUCAUAACUUAAAUUCAAUCCAAAGAAUUAAGCCUUACAUUCGAAUAUACACAUCUAUGUAUAUUUAUUCCACCAUUUGUUUCGAAUCAUUGAAUUUAUAGCAUAUUUAGCUAACAUAAAUGAAACGUAAAUCAUUAACAUCAACUUAUUAAUAUUAAUUCUUAUAUUCAGCUAUAAUAUAUAGGUAAAUUACAAAGUUUUAUUUAAUUUACACAUUUUAAGUUCUAACUUAUCAUAUGUGUGGUAAAAAAAUGUAUAUAUAUAUUCAAUUUAGAUAAAAUUUACUUGCUAAUUGACUUACCUCGGAUAUCGGCGGACACGAUCGAUUACUCGACUACUUUCGUUUUCC
rnacentral:lncRNA from 1 species